GCCUCUUGUACUGUGGGGCCUAGGAGCUAGCCACCUUAGGGCCUGGAAUGCACUGAUGUAGGAUGCGGGUAGUGAGGGAGCACUCUCCCCUGAGCUCUUCCUGCUCAGCUCCCUCGCGUGCACCGUAGUGAUGCCGGAGCAUGACGUCACUCCGGCCCGGCAUCACUAAGAGGAGCGCGAGGGAGCUGAGCUGGAGGAUCAGAGCUCCCUUCGCCACCCGCCUCCACCGUCCACCUGCCUGCCUGACCGACCACCUACCUGUGCCUGUCGAGCCAGCCCCAAUGGACCCUAGGGAAGAAAAUACUUCAGCACUUUAAA